rnacentral:rRNA from 1 species
UACGAAGGGGCUAGCGUUGCUCGGAAUCACUGGGCGUAAAGGGUGCGUAGGCGGGUCUUUAAGUCAGGGUGAAAUCCUGGAGCUCAACUCCAGAACUGCCUUUGAUACUGAGGAUCUUGAGUUCGGGAGAGGUGAGUGGAACUGCGAGUGUAGAGGUGAAAUUCGUAGAUAUUCGCAAGAACACCAGUGGCGAAGGCGGCUCACUGGCCCGAUACUGACGCUGAGGCACGGAAAGC